GCCUCGGUAGCGCAGUAGGUAGCGCGUCAGUCUCAUAAUCUGAAGGUCGUGAGUUCGAUCAUCACCCGGGGCA
rnacentral:tRNA from 1 species